CAGCAGCCGCGGUAAUACGUAGGGUGCGAGCGUUAAUCGGAAUUACUGGGCGUAAAGCGUGCGCAGGCGGUUCGCUAAGUCUGAUGUGAAAGCCCCGGGCUCAACCUGGGAACUGCAUUGGAAACUGGCGAGCUUGAGUGUGGCAGAGGGGGGUGGAAUUCCACGUGUAGCAGUGAAAUGCGUAGAGAUGUGGAGGAACACCGAUGGCGAAGGCAGCCCCCUGGGCUAACACUGACGCUCAGGCACGAAAGCGUGGGGAGCAAACAGGAUUAGAUACCCUGGUAGUCCACGCCCUAAACUAUGUCAACUGGGUGUUGGGGAAGCGAUUCCUCAGUACCGUAGCUAACGCGUGAAGUUGACCGCCUGGGGAGUACGGCCGCAAGGUUAAAACUCAAAGGAAUUGACGG
rnacentral:rRNA from 1 species